ensembl:lncRNA
GUGUUAGUGUGGCCCAGAAUCUAAUCAAUGCCAGGCUUUCCUCUGAGAAGGGCAGGUGCUGUAGCUAGAACAAUCUCUACAAGCCUUUAAGUCUCUGAAUCUGAAACUUCUAGUGCCUCUGCUUUCUUGAACUUGACAAACACCUUGGACAAAUGUGGCAGCAGUUACGCCCUGUGGAUACCAGGAGUCUUGUUCAUCUCAGAGGACCUGCUGAGGCAUUGAAGUACCACACUGAGGAAACCAAGCCCCAAAUAGCCUGGGUCCAGAGGGCUGAGAGCUUCUGGGGCCUGUUUCAGGAAGGGGAUACUGCUGUCCUUCUAGGGGAAAACCUUUCCCCUUUCUCCACAAGCCCCUCAGGCUGCUGGUGCUAACUUCCUCCUCACU